rnacentral:misc_RNA from 1 species
GAUGAAGAACGUAGCGAAAUGCGAUAAGUAAUGUGAAUUGCAGAAUUCAGUGAAUCAUCGAAUCUUUGAACGCACAUUGCGCCCCUUGGUAUUCCAUGGGGCAUGCCUGUUCGAGCGUCAUCUACACCCUCAAGCUCUGCUUGGUGUUGGGCGUCUGUCCCGCCCCCGCGCGUGGACUCGCCCCAAAUCCAUUGGCAGCGUUCCUUGCCCCCUCUCGCGCAGCACAUUGCGCUUCUCGAGGGCGGCUCCGGGACGCGAUCCAGCAAGAUGACCACCGUCUUUGACCUCGGAUCAGGUAGGGAUACCCGCUGAACUUAAGCAUAUCAAUAAGCGGAGGA